rnacentral:rRNA from 1 species
GUCCACGCCGUAAACGUUGGGCACUAGGUGUGGGACUCUAUCGACGGGUUCCGUGCCGUAGCUAACGCAUUAAGUGCCCCGCCUGGGGGAGUACGGCCGCAAGGCUAAAACUCAAAGGAAUUGACGGGGGCCCGCACAAGCGGCGGAGCAUGUGGCUUAAUUCGAUGCGACGCGAAGAACCUUACCUGGGUUUGACAUGUAGGGAAAAGCCGUAGAGAUACGGUGUCCUUCGGGGCCUUACACAGGUGGUGCAUGGCUGUCGU